CCUGAAAACCAAAAUGAAAACAAUGUCAAAAUAUUAGAUAAAUCACAUAAAACAGUUAAGGGGAUACCAAUAUAUAAAAAUUAUUAGUAAGCUCAUUUCUGGAACUGUUAAUGCUCGGUUUCACAAGCCAAGUGACCAACAGCCUUCACUCAGUUACUGGUAGUGUUACUAUGGUUACUACGGUUACUACGUUUAGUGUGAAAAACUAUAACCAUGUUUUCAGUCUGCAUUGUUCUUAGUGGUCUAGUCAUAUACUCGGAGUCCUCUGGCUGUGUAAAUAUGUUCUCAAUUUCCCUUUUCCCUGCUUCCCUACUGAAGACACCGGCAACGGAAUGGGCAUUUGUGCCUACUCCCAGAGCUCACGAGGGGCAUCCUGCGCCUCUGAAAGGCACGCUCAAGAGUACAAGGGGAUGGGGCCCUUUGGCACAUUCGGUAACACCAGUAGAUGCAUUAUAUUCCUGUUAUUUGAUGAACUAUGAACAACCAACAACUAGAAUAAGUGCUCUUGGGCUGUAAUGGCAAAAUACAUGAUCGGGAAGCAGUCUGAAUUUAAUCAAGGGGAUGUACCAUUCCAUUGUUUAUGAUUAUGAUCUCAUGGAUUAGGUUGGGGGUUAGCAAACUGCCUGCAGGCUGAAUCUAGCCUGAUGCUUGUUCAUUUAUAUAUUGUCUGUGGCUGCUUUCACACAAUGGCAGAGUUGAAUAGUUGAGGCAGAGACCAUGUGGCCUGCAAAGUCUGAAAUAUAUCUGGCCCUUCUUUUACAGAAAAAGUUCGUCAGUCCCUGAACCAGAUCGUCUGUUUAAGUGGAGCUAAAAAGAAUGGCUACGAGAUUAAUUUUUAAUUAUUGGUCUAUUUAAGUACCAGCUCUUUAUCUCUUAGGACUCGGCUUCAAUGCUCCCUUUUAAGGAAAGCCUUUCUUAACUCCAGGCAGCAGGAAAGAAUGGAAACCAUCUUGGAGUCACACAGGUUUGUGAAACGAUCUCACCUCUGUAUCAACAGCCUUGACUUAGUAGGAUCCGGCACUUUGGAAUCCCUGAAGGCUGGCUCCAUGCUCUGGUCAGGGCAGGAGUACUUUAAAUCAGGUAUGCAGGGGGAUGGGCAAGCCCUUACUGAAGAAGUGUAGCUGUUUUUUUUUUUUUUUUAUUUUUUUGAGACGGAGUCUUGCUCUGUCGCCCAGGCUGGAGUGCAGUGCCGCAAUCUUGGCUCACUGCAAGCUCCGCCUCCUGGGUUCACGCCAUUCUCCUGCCUCAGCCUCCCGAGUAGCUGGGACUACAGGCGCCCGCCAUUGCACCCGGCUAAUUUUUUUGUAUUUUUAGUAGAGACGGGGUUUCACCGUGUUGGCCAGGAUGGUCUCGAUCUCUUGACCUCGUGAUCCGCCCACCUGGGCUUCCCAAAGUGCUGGGAUUACAGGCGUGAGCCAGAAGAAGUGUAGCUGUUUUAAAUAACAUGUAAGUUCAUACCAUUACUCAGCUCACAUACCCAGUUUCAAGUCCCAGCUAACAUACCACUCUCAACUGGCAUGCAAGAUGGAAUUUAGUGCUCUUAGAGAACAAUGUUUUGUGAGAUGCCUUAGUUAAACCAGAGCUGACCCUGAAUGGAGAUAUUUUUCUAUGAAAAAAACUUGCUUCUUUUGGUAAUAUGCUUCUAGUUGGUAUGCCAUCCUGGGAAAUUGUCUCCACUCCCCAAAUGUAGUCCCUACAGAAUCAUAUACAGUAAAGAAAUCCCCAAGGGCUCAUCUGUCUUUAAGACACCAAGGUGUAUGUAUCAGCGUAUAAGAAGUGUUUAAAUUCACAGGAACUACAAUCAUUUCAUAGUGAAUGGAUUAGAUAUAUUUGAUGGACAAAAAUCAACUUAGUUUCGUUGGCAUUUAAAAGGAUAAGACAUCACGUAAGUUACACAACAUGUAGAAGAGAUCAGAAAUGAGUUUGGUUAGAUUUUUGGGUAGUCAUCAAAAACACCAUCAGAAGUAUGGGGCAAAAAAGAUUAAGCUGCCCUCCCACAUGAAAUUAGAGCAAGAUUUUCGAGUACUUAUUAAAUUACUUCAUUUGCUUAAGCAAAACAUUAGCUUUCUUGGAAGUCAGGCCAAGUGUUAUGUAACAGUUAGUCUUAACUCUGGUUUGUAACCAAAAUAAGUAGAUUAUUGAGGUUAUCCUUAUUGAGAAAAAAAACACGAUUAGUAGAGGAAUGGUUUGUGGUAACAUGGCAACACUGCUCAACAUGACAAAAACUAGCCAAGUGGAAGUUUUCAUGGAAAACAACAUUGAUUUUUGUCAGGCAUUUAAAUAUUCAAUGUGAUUAGUAAGUACUGAAAUGCAUAAAUGACUUAAAGAUACACUACAUGCCUCAAUAAGCAGUUAAGCCCAGGCUUUUCCCUGGUUCCAUCCUCCCUCUUCGUCCUAUUUCAGACACUCCAUUCACAGAACUGAUAGGUAGCUAGUGACAUGGUACCAGGAGGAGAAACAUUUCCCUCCAUCGAUGGAGAUCUUGGGAGUUCUGCAGAAGUACAGAGGAGCUGAGGGAAUGGCUUCCAGAUUGUGGACCCUGGACCAUGGCAAGAGGGCAAGGGAUCCAAGGAUGCACAUGGCACCAAGCAUUCUCUGAUGGUGUAGAUAAAAGUACCACUAGGCUAAUAAGGUCUGUGAACAUUUGUGUACUCCUACUCAAAGAGGGCCAUAAGAAGAAGAGUUGCUCUCCACGGCAAAUAUCCAGAGUAAAUGGAUUUGAGGCCAACCCCACCGCUGUUACAGAGCUUGAGAAAUCUUUCCAUCAAAGACUCUAUCUUUAUUGAAAACACAUUCAACACUUACCCACAGGCACGAGCCAGGCGGCUGCCUCUGCAUCUGAGGGAGCACACGUGUCUGGAGCACCUGCCUGAUGCAGGCUGAACACAUACAACUGCCCCCAUUUACACCACUUGGUCCCAUGAGUAAGUUAUUACUCUGAUUUUCAAAUGAACUUGACUAGUAUUCAUUUAAGCUCCAGAAAGCAUCUGGUGUCAGAAGAAAACAGGAAGGCAGGAUGGUUCACUAUUUCCCAUUUAUUCAGCAGCAGUAGUUACACUAUCCUCAAUUUGCCCUAUUUUAUGACAACCUAACAUAUUAUGCUGGGAGGAACAGAAUGAGUAUACAACAAGGUUUGCCCCAGAAGCUAAAACAAAUUUACUGACAUUUAAAGAGCAAUACUCACCCUCGGUUUGUCUACAGGGGAAAGAAAUUCAUCCAGUGAUGCUUCAGUAUGCAAGAACAAAAUUGUUUUGCAAUAAUACAUAAGAAAGAACAUUCUCUAGGACAAAAGUCCCCUCCUUGCCAAGAGCCUGGGGUGCAGCAGGAGUACAGUACUUUUUUUGAAACCCUGAAGGACAGCUCAAUUUUUUGCUAAGGGCAUGAAGGUUCUGGAAUCAGCCAUGUGUGGAGGGAUGGAUAUGCCUUUUUAAAAAAGCAUGACAGUAUUUCUGAGCAUGAUUUUCAGUUGCUAAAUAUAGGCUUAGCAACAGCACUGCUGAUGAAAUCACUCAGGAGACAUUUUUAAAGAGAAGCAAAAGAAAACAGAUUUGUGAUGUACACACAGCAGGACAACUGUUUUGGAUGAACUCAUUCCAACUUGUUAAGACGACAAAAAUGACCAACUUGUUAAGAUGAGAAAAAUGAACGUGUUCAAUUAACUGAAUCCUCUUUUUAAGACGACUGAGUGUGUUGCAGCUGAGUGAAUCUUUGGGACUCGGGAAAAAUAAUCCACACAGACAUUGCAAAUCCCUGUGUUAGCCCAGGCCCAAACUCCUCACCCAAAUCCAAAGCCUUUCCCGAGGGCAGAUUUUACCAGGAACAUUCACCGGGGCUGGUAACCUCUCCCAUUUCUGUGUCAGAUGUUCAUAGCUGAGUAACAGAUAAGCAAGGAAAAAGAGCAGGGUCCGAGCUAAUCUUUAUCCACACAUACGCCCAGAGGGCCAGUGGCUCAUGUGGGAUGUGGGUACCAAGCUUGAGGGCUCAGGGUCACUUCUGGAAACAAAGCUGACAGGCUGAUGGUUCUUACUGACCUGUCAUAGCUUCCUCAGCAGUCUUUCAUCCUAACUGAAAUAUGACCCACUAUGGCAGGGGUUCACGCCCUUGGCUGCACCCUGGACCUUCUUGGGGAGCUAUAGAGAAAUCCUGAUAGCAGGCCUACCCUGGAGAUUCUGAGGUAGGCAAGGGUGAGAGACCUGGGCACUAGGAAUUUUCCAAGCUAUGUAAAUGAUUCUUGUGUGCACAUGUGGUUUAGAACCACCUCAUCAUGUCAGCCCCACUCUGGCUUUAGGGAACUCAACUCAUCACCUGACACAGGCUAACAAAGGAUCACUGGGUGCAGUGGGCCCAGACCAACAGAAUUGGGAUCCCCUGGGAGAGUUGAGAAUGACUUCAAGAGCUAUUUUAGAGACGCAACAGAGUGGGUUUGAGGAAUAAGGAUGACAGAGGAGUUGAAUGAUGAUGUAAAGGUUUUCCGGCUUGGCUAGUUAGGUGAUUGUGACCUCCCAACCAAGACAGGGAGUAUAAGAGAAUGAGAAGGUUUGAGAGAAAAGAUUAGAAUUAUUUUGACCAUUCUGGGGUUGAGAUUUCUGUGGGUGGUGACAUAUGAUAGCAAGUUUACUGGGCCAAGGCCCCAUCCAGAGGCAGUCACAGACCUGAGGGCUCUUAAGUAUAGAAGGGGCACUAGAGGCAUGGGUCUGGACAAGCUCACCUGGGAACCAAGGCAGAGGCAGGAUGAGAAGAAGAAAAUAUGGGAAAUGAUAGCAUUUAAGGAAUGGCUAGAAGAAGAUAAUUCAGCAAAUGACACACAAAAAAAAAUGGCCAGAGAAGUUAGAA